GACAACCCUAGAGAUAGGGCUUUUCCUUUCGGGGACAGAGUGACAGGUGGUGCAUGGUUGUCGUCAGCUCGUGUCGUGAGAUGUUGGGUAAAGUCCCGCAACGAGCGCAACCCUUGAUCUUAGUUCCCAGCAUUCAGUUGGGCACUCUAAGGUGACUGCCGGUGACAAACCGGAGGAAGGUGGGGAUGACGUCAAAUCAUCAUGCCCCUUAUGACCUGGGCUACACACGUGCUACAAUGGACAGAACAAAGGGCUGCGAGACCGCAAGGUUUAGCCAAUCCCACAAAUCUGUUCUCAGUUCGGAUCGCAGUCUGCAACUCGACUGCGUGAAGCUGGAAUCGCUAGUAAUCGCGGAUCAGCAUGCCGCGGUGAAUACGUUCCCGGGCCUUGUACACACCGCCCGUCACACCACGAGAGUUUGCAACACCCGAAGUCGGUGAGGUAACCUUUAUGGGGCCAGCCGCCGAAGGUGGGGCAGAUGAUUGGGGUGAAGUCGUAACAAGGUAGCCGUAUCGGAAGGUGCGGCUGGAUCACCUCCUU
rnacentral:rRNA from 1 species